ACGCCUAUAGCUCAACAGGAUAGAGCAGUCGCCUCCUAAGCGACAGAUUCAAGUUCGAGCCUUGAUGGGCGUACAA
rnacentral:tRNA from 1 species